UAAGACGAACCGUGCGAACGUUGUUCGGAUUCACUGGGCUUAAAGGGCGCGUAGGCGGGUCGGUAAGUCCGGGGUGAAAGCCCCCAGCUCAACUGGGGAAGUGCCUCGGAUACUGCCGGCCUCGAGGGGGGUAGGGGCGGGCGGAACUUCCGGUGGAGCGGUGAAAUGCGUAGAUAUCGGAAGGAACGCCGGUGGCGAAAGCGGCCCGCUGGACCCUCUCUGACGCUGAGGCGCGAAAGCCAGGGGAGCAAACGGGAUUAGAUACCCCGGUAGUCCUGGCCCUAAACGAUGGGUACUGGGUUGUGGACUUGACAUGGGUUCACAGCCGGAGCAAAAGUGUUAAGUACCCCGCCUGGGGAGUAUGGUCGCAAGGCUG
rnacentral:rRNA from 1 species